rnacentral:lncRNA from 1 species
CCGCUCCAGCGUGUGCAAGAUUUCGUCAAUAAACUUCCUGUAUCAACUGUUGUAAAGGAAGUAACAGGACCUCAAAAGAAAAAACAAAUUCCUGUUAAGAUCGAGCUGAGUCACGAAGCACCAGCGUUCGUGCCAUCCGUGGCACUGAACUUACUGUCACAGACAUCUGCUGUCUUGCCUUCCGAUACUAAGUCACCGGAAGUUACCUCUAUCCCAGAUCUGGGAUUAGUAACCGGCAUACAAAAACUAGGCCUUUCAGAUGAGAUCCCUGCUGAACACCAAAAACAGGGUGUUAAAGAAGCGAUCCCUGUCUUACGCACAAAACAAGAC